UUUUUUUUUGUAUUUGGUCAAGCAGAAUAAUGUAUGAGAAAAUAAAGCUCUUUCAUGUAUUCGUGUUAUAUGUGGGAAUAUUAUUACUGGUUUUGCUACCAUAACAUGCAAUAUUGCAAGUUUGGCAGAAAUAAGUGACUACUGGUCAGUAUAAUCAUAUGAGGAUAAUAUCGGGGUACAAGAUCCUUUCCUGUUUUUCAUGGAGUUAGAGAACAACAUGGUGCGUUGCAUGUUGCACAUUCAGGAUUGCUACAUGAUUAGCAUGUGAUCUUUAGACAAGUGAAUGUCUAACUGACAUUGUCAAGUGACAGCGAGAAGAAGAACGUUUCAGCUUGUGGAGUAUCUUCCAAGUUAGAUAUACCAUCCCGCAAGGUCAAGAUUUACUGAAAUGGAUUAUACUUAGAGUUGGGAAGCCUUACUUUUAACAUUUUAAUAAGUUUUUAUUCCCUAGGUAUGGGCGUUUUCAAGCUGUCCCUCGAGUUUUUCAUCAUGCUCUGCAAUGAGAUUUUCUACCUCUUCAUGAUCAUUG
rnacentral:lncRNA from 1 species